rnacentral:rRNA from 1 species
GUCGUAACAAGGUUUCCGUAGGUGAACCUGCGGAAGGAUCAUUACCUAGAGUUUGUAGACUUCGGUCUGCUACCUCUUACCCAUGUCUUUUGAGUACCUUCGUUUCCUCGGCGGGUCCGCCCGCCGAUUGGACAACAUUCAAACCCUUUGCAGUUGCAAUCAGCGUCUGAAAAAACAUAAUAGUUACAACUUUCAACAACGGAUCUCUUGGUUCUGGCAUCGAUGAAGAACGCAGCGAAAUGCGAUAAGUAGUGUGAAUUGCAGAAUUCAGUGAAUCAUCGAAUCUUUGAACGCACAUUGCGCCCCUUGGUAUUCCAUGGGGCAUGCCUGUUCGAGCGUCAUUUGUACCUUCAAGCUCUGCUUGGUGUAGGGUGUUUGUCUCGCCUCUGCGUGUAGACUCGCCUUAAAACAAUUGGCAGCCGGCGUAUUGAUUUCGGAGCGCAGUACAUCUCGCGCUUUGCACUCAUAACGACGACGUCCAAAAGUACAUUUUUACACUCUUGACCUCGGAUCAGGUAGGGAUACCCGCUGAACUUAAGCAUAUCA